GUGUGUUACAGCACAUGUACUAAGAUUGGAACAACACAGAGAAGAUUAGCAUAGUCCCUGCACAAGGAGGACAUGCAAAUUUGUGACGUGGUCCAUAGUUUU